rnacentral:rRNA from 1 species
UGCAUAUCAAUUAACGGAGGAAAAGAAACUAACAAGGAUUCCCCUAGUAACUGCGAGUGAAGAGGGAAAAGCUCAAAUUUAAAAUCUGGCAGCUUCGCUGUCCGAGUUGUAAUUUAGAGAAGUGUUACCCGCGUUGGACCGUGUAUAAGUCUCCUGGAAUGGAGCGUCAUAGAGGGUGAGAAUCCCGUCUUUGACACGGACUACCAGGGCAUUGUGGUACGCUCUCGAAGAGUCGAGUUGUUUGGGAAUGCAGCUCUAAAUGGGUGGUAAAUUCCAUCUAAAGCUAAAUAUUGGCGAGAGACCGAUAGCGAACAAGUACCGUGAGGGAAAGAUGAAAAGAACUUUGGAAAGAGAGUUAAACAGUACGUGAAAUUGCUGAAAGGGAAACGCUUGAAGUCAGUCGCGUUGGCCAGGGAUCAGCCUUGCUUUUUGUGAGGUGUACUUCCUGGUCGACGGGUCAGCAUCAGUUUUGACCACUGGAAAAAGGCUUGGGGAAUGUGGCACCUUCGGGUGUGUUAUAGCCCUUUGUUGUAUACAGUGGUUGGGACUGAGGAACUCAGCACGCCGCAAGGCCGGGUUUCGACCACGUUCGUGCUUAGGAUGCUGGCAAAAUGGCUUUAAGCGACCCGUCUUGAAAACACGGACCAAAAA